rnacentral:rRNA from 1 species
GUAGGUGGCAAGCGUUGUCCGGAAUUAUUGGGCGUAAAGCGCGCGCAGGCGGUUCUUUAAGUCUGAUGUGAAAGCCCACGGCUCAACCGUGGAGGGUCAUUGGAAACUGGAGAACUUGAGUACAGAAGAGGAAAGCGGAAUUCCACGUGUAGCGGUGAAAUGCGUAGAGAUGUGGAGGAACACCAGUGGCGAAGGCGGCUUUCUGGUCUGUAACUGACGCUGAGGCGCGAAAGCGUGGGGGAGCAAACAGGAUUAGAUACCCUGGUAGUCCACGCCGUAAACGAUGAGUGCUAAGUGUUAGGGGGUUUCCGCCCCUUAGUGCUGCAGCUAACGCAUUAAGCACUCCGCCUGGGAGUACGGCCGCGAGGCUG